rnacentral:tRNA from 1 species
GGAGAGAUGGCCGAGCCGGUCGAAGGCGCUCGCCUGCUAAGCGAGUAGGGGAUUACAAAUUCCCUCGAGGGUUCGAAUCCCUCUCUCUCCG